UGUCUUAAUUUCUUGUUCUGUUUUCUUUGUUUAUUUUCCUUAUUCUCUCUACUUUCUUUACAGUGGUUGUUAUUUCUUUAUCUUGCUCUCUGCUUUCCCUCUCUGUAUUUUAUUUCUUUCCUUAUUUCUUUCUUAUUUUCUCUUAUUUUAUUUUUCUCUUUAUUUUCCCCUCUAUCUUCUUUCUUUCUUUCUUUCUUUCUUUCUUUCUUUCUUUCUUUCUUUCUUUCUUUCUUUCUUUCUUUCUUUCUUUCUUUCUUUCUUUCUUUCUUUCUUUCUUUCUUUCUUUCUUUCUCCCUCUCCCUUUCUUUUCUUUUUUUUCUCUCUCUUUCUUUCAAUUUCUUUCUUUCCAUUUCUCUUUCUUUCUUUCUUUCUCUCUCUCUCUCUCUUUCUCUCUCUCUCUCUCUUCUCUCUUUCUCUCUCUCUCUCUUUCUCUCUUUCUUUCUCUUUGUUUGCCUUUCUGUCUCUCUCUCUUUGAUUCCCUUUCUCUCCCUUUCCCUACCUUGCCCUAGCCCUUUCCAUUUGUCUCUCUGCCUUUCCCUUAUUUCCCCCUCUCCCCCUCUCCUCUCCCCCAGGACCCUUUCUCUCCCCACCUAUGACCAAUUUGGCCCCUGGCCCCCUCCGCCUGCAGCUCGGUUCCCUGUUCCCGGGAAGGGAAAGGAAAAUAAGGGCAGGGAAAGGCAGGGAAAGGCGCUCCCGAGGUGCGAGCGCUAAUUCCCCCGCACACCCGCACCUCUGCUCGUCCCCGCGGCUUAGCAUCAAUGGGGGCAUCUCCCCAAAUCAGGGCACCACGGACGCCAGAUUUCGAUGCGGUUUAAGGGCUCAGCACCGUGCCCCGACGGCCCCUCUGGCUGCUCUCCCCGUCCCACGCGUGGAGGAACACGGGGGGGCCGGGGCUGCUCCUGGCCAGGGCACCCGGGUCUCCCCCGGCCCCCACCCGCAGGAGCUCCGCGCCCCUCGCUGGGGUCGGAGCAAAAUCCCUGAGCCCGGGGGUCUCCGCCUGGGAGAAGUCCCCGCGGGGCUCUGAGCUUCCCAGUUAGGUCGUUUCCAGAGGGGAAACGAAUAAUUCUGUAAGGAGAAUUUUUACACGGUAAGCUGGCCCUGGGGCAGCAUCUUUCCUCGCAGGUAGCCCCCCAAAAUCUGCUGGAGAAAGGCGCUGGACGCCCCUUUCUGGAAAAGAAAGGCAGAAGCUCCCUCUUUCACGGUUUUUACCGGGGUUAGAUGCAAAAUGGUUUUGCACGUUUUAAGAACUGGAAUUUAAAGGAGAGUAAGAACGCGGAGCUGAGGGUGUUCUGCAAAACGUGCUGCGACGUUUUAUGGUUCAGCGAGAGAUUUGGAAAACAGGAAAAACAAAAUAAUGCAUGGGUUCGUUGUUCGAAUUUUUAGAGAGAUCUGCGCAGUGGUAUUGUUUUUUUUGGUUUUGUUUUUUUUUUUGAUUUUUUUUUCAGAGAUUUCUUCCCCUUUCCUUCCCCGACUUUCACACACGUACACCCCCUUCCCCAAAAAACAGACGAUGGAUGUCCCCGUCCCCACUAUCAGCCUGAUUCACUCAAAAGCAGCUGCUUUGCUGCAGAAGCCCUGUAACUGCAGGGCAUAAUCCUCUGCUCCGGAAAGCCUUCCCACCUUGGGUCGGGUGCUUCAGGCAUUUACCGAGCACCUUUCCCGAGGAUGCCAACCGAGCUCGCUGCUCCCUGAAGAAUAUUUUUGAAAACCUCCCCCCAAGCCCUCCAAUAAAAAAAAAU
rnacentral:lncRNA from 1 species